CCUACGGGAGGCAGCAGUGGGGAAUAUUGCACAAUGGGGGAAACCCUGAUGCAGCGACGUCGCGUGAGUGAUGAAGUAUUUCGGUAUGUAAAGCUCUAUCAGCAGGGAAGAAAAUGACGGUACCUGACUAAGAAGCCCCGGCUAACUACGUGCCAGCAGCCGCGGUCAUACGUCGGGGGCAAGCGUUAGACGGAUUUACUGGGGGUACAGGGAACGUAGACGGCCGUGCAAGCCAGAUGGGAAAGCCCGGGGCUCAACCCCUGGACUGAAUUUGGAGAUGUGCUGCUAGAGUGUCGGAGAGGCAGGCGGAAUUCCAAGUGGAGCGGUGAAAUGCGUAGAUAUUAGGAGGAACACCAGUGGCGAAGGCGGCCUGCUGGACGAUGACUGACGUUGAGGCUCGAAAGCGUGGGGAGCAAACAGGAUUAGAUACCCUUGUAGUC
rnacentral:rRNA from 1 species